CCUACGGGGGGCUGCAGUGAGGAAUAUUGGUCAAUGGACGAGAGUCUGAACCAGCCAAGUAGCGUGAAGGAUGACUGCCCUAUGGGUUGUAAACUUCUUUUAUAAAGGAAUAAAACGAGGCACGUGUGCCUUUUUGCAUGUACUUUAUGAAUAAGGAUCGGCUAACUCCGUGCCAGCAGCCGCGGUAAUACGGAGGAUCCGAGCGUUAUCCGGAUUUAUUGGGUUUAAAGGGAGCGUAGAUGGGUUGUUAAGUCAGUUGUGAAAGUUUGCGGCUCAACCGUAAAAUUGCAAUUGAUACUGGCAGUCUUGAGGACAGUUGAGGUAGGCGGAAUGCGUGGUGUAGCGGUGAAAUGCUUAGAGAUCACAAAGAACCCCGAUUGCGAAGGCAGCUUACCAAGCUGUGACUGACAUUGAUGCUCGAAAGUGUGGGUAUCAAACAGGAUUAGAUACCCUGGUAGUC
rnacentral:rRNA from 1 species